CUUUCGCAGCCCGACUUGAACGGAGCUCUUUUUACGAAACGAAGUGAAGUAAAAAAGCGGGAGUGGAAGGCGGAAAAGCUG
rnacentral:misc_RNA from 1 species